rnacentral:rRNA from 1 species
GAACGUGAUCCAGGCUUCGGUCUGGUGAAAGUGGCAGACGGGUGAGUAACACGUGGGAACGUACCCUUCGGUUCGGAACAACCCANGGGAAACUUGGGCUAAUACCGGAUACGUCCGUAAGGAGAAAGAUUCAUCGCCGAAGGAUCGGCCCGCGUCUGAUUAGCUAGUUGGUGAGGUAACGGCUCACCAAGGCGACGAUCAGUAGCUGGUCUGAGAGGAUGAUCAGCCUCACUGGGACUGAGACACGGCCCAGACUCCUACGGGAGGCAGCAGUGGGGAAUAUUGGACAAUGGGCGCAAGCCUGAUCCAGCCAUGCCGCGUGGGUGAUGAAGGCCCUAGGGUUGUAAAGCCCUUUCGGCGGGGAAGAUAAUGACGGUACCCGCAGAAGAAGCCCCGGCUAACUUCGUG